UACAGAGGGUGCAAGCGUUGUUCGGAAUUAUUGGGCGUAAAGCGUGUGUAGGCGGCAUGGCAAGUCGGGUGUGAAAGCCCUCAGCUUAACUGAGGAAGUGCGCCCGAAACUGCUUUGCUUGAGUGCCGGAGAGGAUGGCGGAAUUCCCCAAGUAGAGGUGAAAUUCGUAGAUAUGGGGAGGAACACCGGUGGCGAAGGCGGCCAUCUGGACGGUAACUGACGCUGAGACGCGAAAGCGUGGGUAGCAAACAGG
rnacentral:rRNA from 1 species